UCAUAGGUCUAAAUAUCCUAAAGGCACCAGACCCUACCUGAUCUUGGAAGCUAAGCAAGGUUAGCCUGGUUAGUAUUUUUAUGAAAGAUCACCAACAAAAAAACUCGGUAUUGUAAGCU
rnacentral:rRNA from 11 species